UUGGUGUCCGUUUAUGGAACACAGAUUUAGUGCAUAAAUGUAUAUUGAAUACCAAGUAUGGAUGUACGUAUGUGUAUCCAAUCAUGUUUACAAACAAAUGUAAGUAUUGCGUAAUAACCCAGAAUUCAAUAGAAUUUGUUACACAAUUAAAUCAUACCCAAAUGAUCAAAAAACGACGACUUUGAUGCGACUUGUAAAGAUUCCUACAAUUGUUAUAACAUGUAUAGUUGUGUGCAUGAGACCAAUGCUAUUAUUUGAAGUACCGACGCGACUACCACAGUUAGGCAUUGCAAAAUAUAUUGAUGUCGAACUUUCACGGGAUGCUAAAUCAUUAAGUUUAAUUAACGAGCUUUAAAUAACUCAUGCUGU